CCUUUUUUUUUCCUUUAGGUUGUGCGGCCCAGGACUUGGCCAUACCAGGUAUAUAUGUUAUUGUUAAGGUCUUUGUGUAAGUCUCAUGUCCUUUUUUUGCCCCUAUUUUUUUCCUUUAGGUUGUGCAGCCCAGGACUUGGCCAUACCAGGUAUAUAUGUUAUUGUUAAGGUCUUUGUGCAUUUCUCAUGUCUUUUUGCCCCUAUUUUUUUUUCUCUUUAGGUUGUGCAGCCCAGGACUUGGCCAUACCAGGUAUAUAUGUUAUUGUUAAGUCUUUUGUGUAUAUGUCUUGUCCUUUUUUUUUCCUUUUUUUUUUAGGUUGUGCGGCCCAGGACUUGGCCAUACCAGGUAUAUAUGUUAUUGUUAAGGUCUUUGUGUAAGUCUCAUGUCCUUUUUUUGCCCCUAUUUUUUUCCUUUAGGUUGUGCAGCCCAGGACUUGGCCAUACCAGGUAUAUAUGUUAUUGUUAAGGUCUUUGUGCAUUUCUCAUGUCUUUUUGCCCCUAUUUUUUUUUCUCUUUAGGUUGUGCAGCCCAGGACUUGGCCAUACCAGGUAUAUAUAUGUUAUUGUUAAGGUCUUUUGUGUAUAUGUCUUUUUGUCCUUUUUUUUUCCUUUAGGAUGUACGGCCCAGGACUUCGCCAUACCAGGUAUAUAUGUUAUUGUUAAGGUCUUUCUGUAUGUCUCAUGUCCUUUUUUUGCCUCUAUUUUUUUCCCUUUAGGUUUUGCGGCCCAGGACUUGGCCAUACCAGGUAUAUAUGUUAAUGUUAAGGUCUUUGUGUAAGUUUCAUGUCCCUUUUUUUGCCCUUAUUUUUUUCCUUUAGGUUGUACAGCCCAGGACUUGGCCAUACCAGGUAUAUAUAUUAUUGUUAAGGUCUUUGUGUAUGUUUCAUGUCUUUUUUUUGCCCCUUUUUUUCCCCUUUAGGUUGUGUGGCCCAGGACUUGGCCAUACCAGGUAUAUAUGUUAUUGUUAAGGUCUUUGUGUAUAUGUCUUGUCCUUUUUUUGUCCUUUAUUUUUUCCUUUAGGUUGUGCGGCCCAGGACUUGGCCAUACCAGGUAUAUAUGUUAUUGUUAAGGU
rnacentral:lncRNA from 1 species